UGUUUAAUGUUUAUUGAUUUUCUACGAUUCUUCUUUUUGAAAACUUCAACAUUAUUUUGAUUGUAGCGUCAGGGUCGCCUUUAUGUUUUUUUCAUGUUGCGGGAGUAUGGUGCUUGAUGAUCCGUAAAUCCUGAAUUUUGCCUUGAUAUUUUGAUGGAUCGCGUGACGGUGGCCGUUUCCCGAUUAUCCCGGGAAAUUCUGGCAUGCGGGAAGCGUUCUGACGAUCGCCUCCAUCAGCAACUUGUCCUGGCGUUGAACGGGCUGCCAGUGCAUGGACGCGAUCGUCUGAAGCAGGUGCUGGAUAAUCGCGAUCCCAAACGCGGCCUCAAUCACCGUCGCCAGUCGUUACUGCUGCUCCGAUGAUCCUGACAUCUGGGGCGAGCGUGGAGGCGUUGGUGACGUGGAAAUUCCUGCCGGGUAGGAACCGCGAGCAAAUCGUCCGGCAGAUCGGCGACGAAAUGCGGAGCAAGCGCGAUAUGGAGCCGGCUGAUCUCGCUGGAGAUGUGCAAGAUCAUCGCGGAGGGCGUCGGGGAAAGUGCAUGGACAUUUCCGUCUACGCCACCGGACAGUCGCGCAUCUUCGAGGGCAGGAUCCUGCCGUCGGAACGCGCCGGUCACGUGCUGCUGCGGACCUGGAACCCCCUCGGCUGCGUCGGCUUCAUCUCGGCGUUUACAUUCCCCAUGGGUGUCUGCGGCUGCAGUAACGCCCUCGCCAUGAUCUGAGACUGGCCCCGAAGAGCCUGUACGACCCGAUGCACAGUUGCACACAGGCGUCGCUUUUAUACCAGCAGACCAUCGCACAUCGCCGACGCCCGGUCCGCCAGCGGCCGCGUCCUCGUGGACGGAAAAGCCAGCAGCCAUCCCUUCGCCGGCAACUUGGUCCAACUUACCAUCAUCACCGACCUGCCGCACAACGCCGCCGUCAUCCUCAAAGAGACCUCCGCCCCCGUUUUUACGCCCUGGAAUACCGGGCCCUGGAGGAUUCGGGGAAGCGGUACAGUAUAUGCGCCGCGGGACGUGUACGAUUACUUACAGGAAGGAGCUGCAGUUGGCGCCUGGGCUCAAGUUUGAUUUUUAGAGUUUUAUUCUUACCGGUUGUUCGCUCAGUUUUAUUGUUUGUGAGUGAAAGUGCUAGUGGUGUGGCUUUACAAAAUUCCUGAAUUCGUCUAACGACUCAGGAAACUGUGGAAAAUUAUUAAA